UACGUAGGGUGCGAGCGUUAAUCGGAAUUACUGGGCGUAAAGCGUGCGCAGGCGGUUCGUUGUGUCUGCUGUGAAAUCCCCGGGCUCAACCUGGGAAUGGCAGUGGAAACUGGCGAGCUUGAGUGUGGCAGAGGGGGGGUGGAAUUCCGCGUGUAGCAGUGAAAUGCGUAGAGAUGCGGAGGAACACCGAUGGCGAAGGCAACCCCCUGGGCUGACACUGACGCUCAGGCACGAAAGCGUGGGGAGCAAACAGG
rnacentral:rRNA from 1 species